GGAACCAGCCACAGCGCCAAACAAGCAGCUUUGUGCCUACUGUGGGAAACCCCAGUGCCAUGCACUCUGGUGCUAUUUUAAGUCAGAGACCCAUCGAUAGGCUGAGAGGCCAAGCAGGCUUGAAGCCUGUUUCAUAAGCCAAGGCACACAAAAGCAGGAUCCGUAUCGCUCUACUCCCUUCCUAUCCAUGUUUUUGGAUAGUAACUGGAAGCUGUGGGAACAAACAGUGGCGGAGAUCAUUGCUAGCAGAGUCGCACUAAAGAAGCUCACUGCAGUGUGGGAGAGAGCUCGAUGCUGUGACAGAAGCAAUCAUGGAUGUGGAUAUCGCUGGCUGGGCCAGCAUUUAUCUCCUGAGGGCAGUCAAGGGUCAACUGCGUUGUCGCAGGCCUGGAGUCACAUGUAGGCCAGACCAGGGUGAUCAGAACUGGACACGGUACUCCAGAAUAGGCCUCACCAAAGUUACCAGCCUGACGGAUGGAACCGAACUCCCCAGACACAGACUGUGUGUGACCUCAGUAGAACAGGUGGAGCCAAUGCAUUGUUAACAUUAACCCCUUCAGAACCAUGACCUUACAUCACAGUUGGCACAUGCUGCUGGUGGGUUGUGUAUUUAAAGUGUUUCGUAAUGUGUCAUAUUGCGAUGGUCCAAUAUGUUGACUGACCUCUGUAAAGUUUUUAAAAAGGCCCUUAUUAGUUUUGUGGUUACUGGGAAACCGCAGAAUCCCCAUAUGCUGCAGAGUGAAACUCGGCAGAUUGAGAUUUCAUGUCUGGGUGCAUGACUUUUCGCAACUUCUU